AUUGAACGCUGGCGGCAGGCCUAACACAUGCAAGUCGAGCGGAUGAAGGGAGCUUGCUCCUGGAUUCAGCGGCGGACGGGUGAGUAAUGCCUAGGAAUCUGCCUGGUAGUGGGGGAUAACGUCCGGAAACGGGCGCUAAUACCGCAUACGUCCUGAGGGAGAAAGUGGGGGAUCUUCGGACCUCACGCUAUCAUAUGAGCCUAGGUCGGAUUAGCUAGUUGGUGGGGUAAAGGCCUACCAAGGCGACGAUCCGUAACUGGUCUGAGAGGAUGAUCAGUCACACUGGAACUGAGACAAGGUCCAGACUCCUACGGGAGGCAGCAGUGGGGAAUAUUGGACAAUGGGCGAAAGCCUGAUCCAGCCAUGCCGCGUGUGUGAAGAAGGUCUUCGGAUUGUAAAGCACUUUAAGUUGGGAGGAAGGGCAGUAAGUUAAUACCUUGCUGUUUUGACGUUACCAACAGAAUAAGCACCGGCUAACUUCGUG
rnacentral:rRNA from 1 species